CCUACGGGUGGCAGCAGUAGGGAAUAUUGCUCAAUGGGGGAAACCCUGAAGCAGCAACGCCGCGUGGAGGAUGAAGGUUUUCGGAUUGUAAACUCCUUUUGUUAGAGAAGAUAAUGACGGUAUCUAACGAAUAAGCACCGGCUAACUCCGUGCCAGCAGCCGCGGUAAUACGGAGGGUGCAAGCGUUACUCGGAAUCACUGGGCGUAAAGAGCGCGUAGGCGGGAUAGCAAGUCAGAUGUGAAAUCCUAUGGCUUAACCAUAGAACUGCAUUUGAAACUGUUAUUCGGGAGUAUCGGAGAGGGAGGUGGAAUUCCAGGUGUAGGGGGAAAAUGAGUAGAGAUCAGGAGGAAUAC
rnacentral:rRNA from 1 species